rnacentral:lncRNA from 1 species
AAGCUCAAGAAUCUAUUAUCCAAUUGUGGUUAACAUGAUUGGAUAAUAGAGCUAUCAGUUUAUCUGCAGUUGCAGCUCUGGCCGAAGGACCUUCAUCUUCUCCCUUGUUCAGUAGAUUGAACUAUCUACUGAUAUUGCUCCUGAGUAAAGAAAGGAGUUGGUGCUUGUUGCUGAGUCUGAAGUCCAUAUGGUGAAAUCAUCAUCUGCACUUGCUGAGGCACAUGCUAAAAUCCUGGUGAUGAGGACACUUGCAUUUGCUGUUGUCCACCUGUUAUUCCUUCUCCUCGGCCCUAUAAACCUCCAAAUUGCAUAUGCAUCUGAGUGUUUUGCCUUGGAGGAUUGCAGUUAGGAGCAGUGUUGACAUGAUUGGCAUAUGUUCCAGAGUUGCCCCCUUUCUUCUAUGUCUUAAAGUUAGACUUAAAGUCUUGAGCAUAUCCUAUUAACUUGAAACAAUUUCCCUUGGUGUGGCCAUUGUAGCUGCAAAACUCACAAACCAUUGUCUUCUUCGGGCUCUAAACUAUCCAUUGCCAGGGGUUGGAUUUUUGUUGCCAUACAGAGUAGUGAUGUCAGCAACUUCUGUUACUUGUACCAUUUGAGUGAAGUUUACCAGAUUCCUUUGGCUUUCCACAUACAUAAUAAGAGAAUAUGCCUUGUUAAUACUAGGCACUGGUGUCAUCAUCAUGAUUCGACUUCGAGCUUGAGAGUAAGUAUCAUUCAGUCCCAUGAGAAACUGAAUUAAUCUAUGAUACUCAAAAUUCUUAGCAUAUUUCUUUGAUUCUGGACAGGGACGAUCAAGACAUGACAUGAGGGCAUCAAACUAAUCCCAUAGAUCCCUUAGUUUAGAAAAGUAAUCAGCCACAUUAAUUGUUCCUUGAGUUAGUGUACGAAUCUCUCUAUGCAGGCAUAAAACCUUAGAUCCAUUUACUUUAUCAUACCUCUCCUUGAGAUCUUCCUACACCUUAUGAGCAUUAGAAG